rnacentral:rRNA from 1 species
GACGAACGCUGGCGGCGUGCUUAACACAUGCAAGUCGAACGGAAAGGCCCUGCUUUUGUGGGGUGCUCGAGUGGCGAACGGGUGGGUAACACGUGAGUAACCUGCCCUUGACUGUGGGAUAACUUCAGGAAACUGGGGCUAAUACCGGAUAGGAGCUCCUGCUGCAUGGUGGGGGUUGGAACGUUUCGGCGGUUGGGGAUGGACUCGCGGCUUAUCAGCUUGUGGGUGGGGUAGUGGCUUACCAAGGCUUUGCCGGGUAGCCGGCCCGAGAGGGUGACCGGCCACAUUGGGACUGAGAUACGGCCCAGACUCCUACGGGAGGCAGCAGUGGGGAAGAUUGCACAAUGGGCGGAAGCCUGAUGCAGCAACGCCGCGUGCGGGAUGACGGCCUUCGGGUUGUAAUCCGCUUUCGCCUGUGACGAAGCGUGAGUGACGGUAAUGGGUAAAGAAGCACCGGCUAACUACGUG